rnacentral:misc_RNA from 1 species
GUAGGUGAACCUGCGGAAGGAUCAUUACGAAGACUUUUGUCACUAAUUUUAGUGACAAAACUCCCACCCUUUGUGUACCAAACUUGUUAUCUUUGGCAAAGCGUUUUUAGUUCUGCUGAAACCAUUGACAGUGAACAACUGUGAAUGAGUCUUUGCCAAAGUUUUUCAAAACCCUUUUUAUUAUCAAAUAUUGUCUGAGUUUUAAAAGAAAUAAAACAAAACUUUCAACAACGGAUCUCUUGGUUCUG